ACGCUCGACACCUACGGUAGGCAGCAGUGGGGAAUAUUGCACAAUGGGGGAAACCCUGAUGCAGCGACGCCGCGUGAGUGAAGAAGUAAUUCGUUAUGUAAAGCUCUAUCAGCAGGGAAGAAAGUGACGGUACCUGAGUAAGAAGCCCCGGCUAACUACGUGUCAGCAGCCGCGGUAAUCUGAGCGGGCUGGCAAGGC
rnacentral:rRNA from 1 species